UUGAUUUACCAAUGAACUCUUUUUCUGUAGAACAAGAGCAUUUGCCUCACAGUUUGGUUAAUUUAUUUUGUGUUUGUGCAUUUUUAGAAGUCCUAACGGUGAAUCAAUGUCGUUUUCUCCAAGGAUGGAUAUGCUACAGUCAGAACCUACGCAAAUGGUUCAAUUGAUCAUUCCAAUCGAAUCAGCUUAUCAUCCAGUUCUUACUCAGCGUUCUCAGCCUUUAAUUCUAAAACGUGCGACUCCUCUUCAAUUUCAUUGCUCUUGUUUUAGAUUCUUUUACACUGAAUUUUGAAACCUACAUUGCUACGACUGUUGUUGCUCUGAUUCACUUUUUUCAGUUGUGUUUUCAUGCCUUCAUCUCUCUGAAUAUUUCUUACAUUGGUAACUAUUUAUUUAAGUUUAUUCGUCCGCUAAAUGUAGAUAAAAAUCCAUUCCAUCAAACUUAUGCCUCUCAGGUGCAUAUCAAAUCCCUGUCUGUGUUUGCGUUCUGGUUGCAUUUAAAAAAAUAAAAAUAUAAAUAAGAGUCAUACGUGUGUUAUUGAAGAGGUUGAAACUCUAAUGCCAUGAGAUUUGGAUAAACUGCAUAAUAUUUUGGUGUCCUUGCAUUGUGUGAAUGGUCUUAUUGGAAUUGUUUUUAUCGUUAGUUGAUUGUAAGCAAUUUUACAGUAUUCACAUUUUGUUGAAAACACGACCACCAUUCAUGUUAUUGUAAAUAUGUAAUGGAAAAUUGAAUUCUAUUAUUGCUAUCUUAAGCACAUUGGAGAAUUCCUUCAAGUAAAUAUGACUAGGUCAUCUUAGUACUUGUUUGUAUUAAAUUAAAGUACGAUGGAAUGGAUUUGGAUAAAACUAAUUUUGAAUUGUUGAACUAAUUCGACAUGUGCUCAAAUUGAAGUUGAAAUAUCUCAAAAGGGGUUACAUGCUCUGAAAAUUUUGUCACGGGUUCUUCUGUUCAAGAACGCAGUAUCUGGUGAACUUUUUUUUUUUUGUUUGUGUCUUGGUUAAACAUGAAGAACUUCAACCUGAUCUCCUUCAGAUUAACGCAAACAAUGAGAAAUUGAAACACGCUUACAAUGAGGCAUCAGAGUAUAUAAACUUGUUCAAAAGAAGGUAUGGUUUGCUAAGUUCUUCACUGCCACAAAUUCUAUAAUCGCUUCUAAUUAGGUUAACCCUGCUUUUCAUCUUUCUUAUGUUUAAACUUUAAAUAGAAGUAUGUACAAUACAUACUGUUAGUACAGAAGCAAACUUUUUCUCGGGCUUGUUGCAUGCAUAUGAUCAUUGAGCUUGGUCUUUUCUUUUCUCUCCUUGAUUGGAUAAGAAAGCAGAGGUCAAAGUAAUGCUUUUCUGGUAUAUCAUUUCAGGUUGGCGAAUUUUUCUAUUCAGCAAAAAAUUAAUGCUGUAGCACACAGAAAAAACUUGAAUUCCAGAUAACUGUUGAAAGAUCUAUUGACAGCCCAUUAUUAUUGGAAAAAGAGGAGACAACAACAAAGCAAAUUAAGCUGGGGUUUAUCAGUGGACUUGUUUCCAGGGAAAAAUCAGUUACAUUCGAAAAAAUUCUAUUUCGUGCUACUGGGGGAAACGUGUUUCUCAAAUAGGCUGUGGUUGAACAUUCUGUUAUUGAUCUUUUGUCAGGGGAAAAGUUUACUUUAAAUUCUUAAAUUGAAGUCUUUAACAUCUUUCAAUUAGAUGUGUAGAAACUAAUUACUGAUUAUUACGACCUUGAUCGGUUUCAGGAAGACCUGCAGAAUUGAAGACUCCAUAAAUGCAGGAUUGCUUGCAAACAAUUGGAUAUCACUUAUGAGCAGUGGAGCCUUCAGUUUUGUUUUAUUUUAGAUAAAGUAUUUCAUCUUUUUUCAUGUUUUCCUUUUCAGCUUUAUUGCUAAGCUUCUGCAAUUAAUGUUCAUUCCAAUGCUAACUUUUCCUUUCUUCAAUUUUAACUUAUUGUUUAAGAAGGAAAAAAUCCAUCUAUCACACUCUAAAUAUACUUAGUAUGAAUGCGACAAACCAGGUCUGUCCUUGAAUUGUGAUUUAAUUUGAGUUGAGCUGAAGCAUACAUGUAAUGCCGUUUUUACUGGAUGGCAUAGCUAAUUGAUUUAUUCAAUACUUGACAGAUUCACAAAGUAUUGCAGCAGUUGUUGAGGCGAUAUUUCAGGUUUUAGGGACAAAGGAAUCGCAGCCUACCUAUUUUUGCACAAACAAUUCACUUCUUCUUUUCAAGAAAUAGUAGAUGCCUAUGGGCGCUUUAUGUAGCCCUCAGCAUGAGCGUUUCAAAUUUCAUUCUCCUCUUAUUGAUAAAAAAUCCCUAUCAGAGUCGUCAAGUACCACGAAGCAAAUCCUGGUGUAUACCCAAUUAUCACGUUUCCAUUCCUUUUUUUUUUCUGUAAUGUUCGGUGACUAGGGUCACGGCUUUGUAUCUCGUAAUCAGAGAGAAACAAUUUUCCAGUCAGCACUGAAGCCGUUUCUCCUGAAGAAGCAACAUCAAGAAGCAUCAAGGUCGAAUCAGAGUCACAUAGUGUGCCCCGUGACCAUGAUGAGUUUGACUUCGGCGAGGUUUUGGUUCACCAACUUAUACAUAUAAUCAAAUUUGUGCAUGGAGCCGCGUGUCUAAUACAGCUUCUUAUCUACGUUUGCGGGCCCUCAGGUAGGUUGUUGAAAGCCUUCGAUUCUCGUCUGUAAAAUUUUGUUAGAAUUAGUCAAAAUUCAACAUGGACAUGGAAUUUGGCUUUUUGAUGAACUUGCAACUCGUGGAUGGCAAGAACUUUGAAUGAAAGUCCAAUGAGCUUUGGAAUCCUCUGAUAACGUCUUAAGAAUGGAAGAAACCUCUGAAAAUUACUUGGUUUUUAAAGGAGUGCAUACGAAACCAUCAUCUUAUGAUUGUACCCCAGGCUAUUGACUUCGUGAAUUGAAUGCAUCGCCCCUCGGUUAGAUUGGAUUGAACCAUUUAUGGUUGACCAGUUGCUAAUUUAGCAAAUGUAGGUACUGUAUCAUGGAAGAAACCAUAAAAGACAGUAAAACCCACACAUAUCUUGGUUAGGUCCACAUGUAUGUGCUAUUGAUUUGAUAGCAAAGUUAUCAUUAGCUUUGAUGAAGAAACCUCGACAGUCGACACUAAUUUCUUGUCCUUUUUAUUGUAUAAGCAAGUUUCGGGAUCCGGCCCCUUUUCUGUCAUUUCAAGGGUUGGUUGCUUGGAAAUUCUAGUGGGGGUAGUUAAAUGGCAAAAACUGAUACGGUUUUAUUGUCGUCCACGCAUUAGUUGCACCUACUUGUUCU